UACGAAGGGGGCUAGCGUUGCUCGGAAUCACUGGGCGUAAAGCGCACGUAGGCGGAUUGUUAAGUCAGGGGUGAAAUCCUGGAGCUCAACUCCAGAACUGCCUUUGAUACUGGCGAUCUUGAGUUCGGGAGAGGUGAGUGGAACUGCGAGUGUAGAGGUGAAAAUUCGUAGAUAUUCGCAAGAACACCAGUGGCGAAGGCGGCUCACUGGCCCGGUACUGACGCUGAGGUGCGAAAGCGUGGG
rnacentral:rRNA from 1 species